rnacentral:lncRNA from 1 species
GAUCGCGAUCUGGGGUCGAAAAACAGUUCAAAAAGCACAAACCCCCUUCAUUUUCUUAUUUCCCCUUUUUCUAAUUCCAAACCCUAACCCCUCCCCAAUUUCAAAAUCUUCAAUUUCUUUCAUAAAAAGCACAUCAAUCACACACUUGAACAUCACAAAUUCACGAUUUGCACAUUUACUCCAAGAAUUUGUGGGUGAA